rnacentral:rRNA from 1 species
GACGUAGGGCGCGAGCGUUGUCCGGAUUUAUUGGGCGUAAAGAGCUGCGGUAGGCGCUGUCGCGUCGUCCGUGAAAACCUGCAGCUCAACUGCAGGCUUGCGGUCGAUACGGGCUAGCUAGAGUGUGGUAGGGGAGAUCGGAAUUCCUGGUGUAGCGGUGAAAUGCGCAGAUAUCAGGAGGAACACCGGUGGCGAAGGCGGAUCUCUGGGCCAUUACUGACGCUGAGGUGCGAAAGCGUGGGGAGCAAACAGG